AACACCAAGUUUAUGUUUAAAGCACUCAAAAUCAUUAUUAUUUGUCCAGACAGAUCUAAACCUUUCCCGAUAGUACAUGACCGGAAGCGUGGGGAGGUAAAAACUGAAUCUGGCUAUAUCUGUUAUAACAAGAAGUCACCCUCCGUAGCAAAUGCUAUUGACUCCUAAAUAGGAAAUACUAAUUUUAAACAUGAACUGAUAUAUCCAGUGGUUACUUAUAAUUCUGUGAUUCUUUUGGCUCAUUCCCUGGUUAAAGGUUAGAUCAUUUCCCACAUGGUGAGAUAAUAAACCUAAGGUGAGAUAAUAAGCAUUUAAGGACUCCAGGCCCUACAAGAAAAUAACCAUAUAAUUUGCGUAAGAGAGGAAAGAGUUCAUCAUCCUGAUGCAGGGAGAAACAAUAAAUUUUUAAAAGCAAGCUGAUGAUGUAGCUGUUCAAGGUCCUGAAAAUAAAAAUAAAAAAUCAGUUUGGCACUGUGAUCCUAAUCAUACCUCGAUAUGUUUCUGCAACAUUCUCCCUGCUUGAAUAUUAUGCUUUUCAUCUUAUGCCCUUGUUUGAGAUCCCUGGCCUUCUAAAUUUAGGUAGAUCAUGCCUAGAAAGGGCUUUUUUCCUUUUGUGGUAUUUGUAGGCUGAGAGCUCUUCCUGUGGAAGCCCAACCAGGACCAAAUUUAAUGCCCUUCUAGCAUAAAAUGAAACAAAUCUUUGCAAUGCCUGACCAAUACAGAUAUUUUCUGAUAAUGCCCUAAGGGAACAAUAUUUGGUAUUUCAUAUCCUAAAUACUUGAAACUUGACACUUGAAACAUAAUUAUUUAGGUUUGGUUAAAUGAGUUCAAACUAAUAAUAAGUUGUUGCUGAUAUGAGAAAAGUGCAAGUUUGAAAACAAAGUGAGCCAUAGAAACACAGACUGAUAGAGUUGUGUAUUCCAGCAAAUGAUUUUGUAGGUGCUGUGGGCAGGUGUUUUUGUUUUUUUUAUUGUAACUGUCAAUACUCACACUCCUGGUACCAUGCAGUGUCUGCUUUUUAUUAUUAAACCCAUCUUAUUAUGGGCCCUCAAACUCUCAGAGACAAAGCAAGCUGCGUCAGUGCAAUGUUACUUUUCUAGAGCUAAUGCUAAGUUAAUCACUGAUUCUGUUAGGCGUGCGCACGGGGGUGUGCUUCGCUUGUUUGCCAGAGGGAGAGCAAAACAUAUUAGUGUUAAUUAUUACAAUUUCAAUUCCCAGAUCACCUGCCUGAAAAUUACAGAGAGUUCUGUACAUGCAGUAAUCUACUAUCUAUCCUCAUGACUGGGUAGUCUAUUAGCAUCCAGAGCUAUGCUGGACAUGCUAGGCAAAAUCUGCCAGAAAGGCAGUUCUUGAAUGGUCACAUCAGCAUUAUUAGCAGAAAAUUCAUCUGUGUUCUUUAGCAAUUAAACAUUGCUGGAAUUGAUUGGAUUUAAACAUUCAUUCAUCCAGGGAGUAAAAUAUCUAAUUUGUAAGUGAGCUGUUUUUAACUGAAUCCAUUUUAAUGCAGAUUCCUGGGCUAUUAGAAAAAGCGAGAUCAAUAAAUCCACAGGCCGUAAUGGGAAAUGCACCUAAUUAAAGAUGUGUUUGAUUUAUCAACACUGUUGACAGCUGUAACCACAAAAUGGAGACGUGGAAAUGUAGGGAUUAAAUGGUUACAUAUCGUGUUAACCUAACCACUAAAAUGAAUUUAAAAAUACUAUGUGUUAAUAUGACAUAGACCACUUUUCCAUUAUUGUGAGCUUUACAUGUUCUCCCAGGCACAAGGAAUACACCUGUGCAGCUGGGAGAAUGUUUAAAUGUGACUAGGGCUGAUUGCAGGGUCUUCCCCCACAAAAAUCAACAUCCUAGUGGGUGAGACAGAUUCUGUGUAAUAUGUUGCCAUAUGUUUCGAUCAUUUAUAUGAAUGCUCAGCCAUCUGGAAGCCACUCACUUAUGUGUGAGAACAUGUGAAAAACUCAACGUCCUGCCACAAUUUUCACUAGAUAUAUGGCAAAAUUAACCUUACACCUUAGCAGGAUUAUACAGAUAAUCCAGCUGGUUCAUCUUUAUCCUGAACUAAAAAUCCCCAAGAACUUUAGCCUUUCUUCCCCCUCUUAGUCACCCUUUUUAAAUACCUUUUCCAGAUAAAUGAUAUCCUUUGGGGCAUGAGUUUAAGUGGAAGCGUACUUUGUACUUCAAGUCUGCUGUGAAAACUCUGUAGCAUGAGGUCCUCAGAAUCAGAUUAGUCUGUUAUGUUUGGAGGAUUUCUCCAAAACAUAAAUGGUAGAGGCCAUUUAUUUUGUAUGUCCUUCACAUUGUUUCCAUUCCCACAGGCUUAUGAAAAUGGUGACCAAUCUGUAUUCUGAUACAUGGAUGAAAAAUUACACUAUGUUUAACUUAAUGCAUUGUUAUUGUGCAUACUUAAUAAUACAGUUUCCCUAGUCCUGUAAACAGAUUGUCAAGUGUGUAUUCCACCACGCCCCAUACAGUCACAGAUGGAGAGGGACAUGCCCAUAAUAGCUUCAAAUAAAAUCUGUGUACCCACUGAAAAGCAUUUUUCAAAUGUAGGUCACCCACUGUGAGAACUUGCUAGAUGAGCAAGAUGGAAAUUUUAAUUUGUUUUACAAUACCAAUAUCAAAUUGUGUGCUUUUAUUAAAGUAAUUACGUUGCAGUGUAAUAAAAGCAAUUGUCACCAUUCUGUUCUGCUCUCCCUUUUGUAGAAGAAGAAUUAAUAAGAAGGUGCUGGUGUGUAACUCAGUCGAGUGUCACUGAAAGUGAGAUACUUUGAAUGCUAGAUUUGGGCUUAGGUGAGCUAAAGUGACAUUCCCACUCAGUCAUGUACUAACAGGAGGCUAGACUUGGGCUAGUCAGUAUCUCUCCAGUUCAGUCCCAGGAGGCAGUUUACUGCUUGUUGGCUGAAUGCAGUAAAUAUUGUACAAAACAUUAUAUUUUAGGGGCCUAACACGUUGCAUGGACGCGGGUGGUGCUGUGGGUAAAACCUCAGUGCCUAGGACUUGCCGAUCGUAUGGUUGGCGAUUCGAAUCCCUGCGGCGGGGUGAGCUCCUGUCUUUCGGUCCCAGCUCCUGCCCACCUAGCAGUUCGAAAACACCCCUAAGUGCAAGUAGAUAAAUAGGUACCGCUUUAUAGCAGGAAGGUAAACGGUGUUUCCGUGUGCUGCGCUGGUGCUGGCUCGCCAGAGCAGCUUCGUCACGCUGGCCACGUGACCCAGAAGUGUCUCUGGACAGCGCUGGCCCCCGGCCUUUUAAGUGAGAUGGGCGCGCAACCCCAGAGUCGGUCACGACUGGCCCGUACAGGCAGGGGUACCUUUACCUUUACCUUUAACUACACGUUACUAAAGAAAUUUCUGAUAGGCUAUUUUCUUAAAAGCACCCAUAGGGUAGACAGUUUGGCUUGUGGAUUUGGAGCUGAAGCUGUCCUUAUACAAAUCAUUCCUUCCUGGUGCAACUAUUAACUGUAGGGGGGGUGUAAAAUGCUCAUGUUGUACCCAUGUGUUUUCCCCUCCCUUCCUAAUAGCAUUUGUGCCAAAUCACCUCCCCACCCUGUGAAUGGUGAUUUGCGGUUGCUUUUAGGAAAUAAUAAUAAUUUUAAAAACAGUUUCUCUCUCAUGCAAUUUGCAGUUUGGCAUUGUGUAAUAAAUAUGCCCUACAAAUGAUACCUCAUGAAUUCCAGCAGAAUGGAAGCCACAAGGACGCUGAUCCUCAGUAUUAUGAACCAUAGGCUGUUCCUUGUAAAAGCAAUGAAAACAAACUUUAACAUUUGGAAUAUACCAAAAGAGCCCAUUGCUGGUGUGACUUAACAGAUUAGUUGCAGGAGUUCAGGACCCUGGUUAGCUCUUUCCAGGUAGAGGCUGGAUGCAAGGCACUAUGAGCAGCUGCUAAGGUAUUUGCCUCUGCUCUAGGCUGCAGCCAGGCAUGGGCUUUUAUAGCCCUGCAGCUGAGGGAUUCCUUCUAGCUCUUGACCCCUUUGAGAGAAGCAGUUGACCUUGCGCCCUGUUACUUAGGCAUGGGCUCCUGUUGGCCUAGGAUCUUCCUGCUGCCCCUGACUGUCUGGUAGUACUGGCUCAACAACACGUGGCUAGUAGGUUUACUGUGUUCUGAAUUUCCAUGUAUGACCACUCUGAAAUUAGUUUCCUAGAAGAGCCACAACAUAGGCCAAACACACAUGCAUGUGCACAUGUGUACACAUGUGUACAAACCUAGAGCAGCAGUCAUGCAUAAUGUUCUGGGCUGAGUAGUGGAGAGAAAGAACUUCUGCAUGUUCAGAGUUAAGCCCAUUACCCAGUAUCUCAAUUCUGUGUUAGGAGGUAUAUUAUUCUUUUUAAGUAUACUGAAACGACUGAGAGCCCAGCUGAAGAAUGUGAAAAAGAUUCAGUAGCUCACACAACCUCUCCCAUAAAGCCACAGUAGAGUAUGACAGGGAUUUCUUUCUUAGGAAUGGAUGCAUCUUCAUUGCUUAAAGAAAGAUGGAAUGGAACUUUCUAGCCAACAGCAAGAUUCUUGCACUUGGUUCCACAAGGAACUAAUCUGUGAGAUUUUCACCAGUCAGUGAGUCACAGGUUGAAAAAGAUGAUCCUGAAAUCAUGAAGUGUAAUAUCAUGAUACCGCACAAUACGUUGGUUUGGAUCUCAGCAAAACGUUUUCCAAUGAGUGUGAUGGAUGUCUUUUAUUUUCCCUGUUUAUAAUGGUGUGAAAUUGUACAAAGGAACAUUUGGGCACCAAGUUAAAGAAAUAAUAUAUUCCCAUGGUUUCACUGUUCUUAGUGUAAUUUAGAAGCACUGAGACUCCUUUCCACCUCAGCAUGUUAUUUAUUUGUUUUUUUCUAUUAAUAAAAUAUAAUUACAAGCCCCCAAACGAGUGUAGUGAAUUACAAAGUGAACAUAACCAUAGAUUUCUUCACAGAAAAUAUGUACCACCACCCACCCUUACUCAACUCAAAACUCU
rnacentral:lncRNA from 1 species